rnacentral:rRNA from 1 species
CCCUUAGAUGUUCUGGGCCGCACGCGCGCUACACUGAUGCAUUCAACGAGUUUCUUCCUGGUCCGAGAGGAAUGGGUAAUCUUUUGAAUGUGCAUCGUGAUUGGGAUAGAUGAUUGCAAUUUUUCAUCUUCAACGAGGAAUGCCUAGUAAACGCAAGUCAUCAGCUUGCAUUGAUUACGUCCCUGCCCUUUGUACACACCGCCCGUCGCUCCUACCGAUUGAAUGAUCCGAUGAAUAUCAUGGAUUGAGGAUGCAAGUAGGUUAGCCUAUCUUCAUCUUCGAGAAGUGAAGUAAAUCUUAUCAUUUAGAGGAAGGAGAAGUCGUAACA